AACGACGGACAGCUCCCGCCCUGUGGCCCCUGUACCCUCCCUGCGCUGUGGCGUCUGCAGCUCCACUCGAAGGACAUGGAGUGUGGCUGCAGAUCUGAUCGGCCCUCUCUUGCUCUGCGCCCUCCCCACCCACACUUGGUGGGUGUCUUCUAGGCUGCUAAAGUCCAGCCUUGAGCUAAGCACCCCAAAAGGAAUCAGAGCCCGAGAGAUGAGAAAGGGGUGCCAGAUGGAGAUCGAGGUUGGCCCCUCUCUGGGAGCUCAGUUGCCGCCAAGAGGCAGUGCUCAGACAGAGGGGAGGAGGCGGCCGCGGAGGCCGCGGAGACUGCAGGGUGGAGGUCUGCUUUGAAGGUACCCCACGUCCUUCAGUUUCCUGAUUUCCACAAAAAAAUACAAGAUCUCGACAACUGCUGUUACCUGAUUUCUUUAGUAUCUGGUUUCACCUGGAAUCUGAAUUCUCAUACUCUACAUCCAAUCUGUGGUGAUACGUGUUCUGGUUCAAGCAUAUAAAGUAAAUCCAGGCUCACAUAGUUACAUAGCUGGGAAGAGGAAAAUCUUUUAAUAGUCUUUUCAGAUAAUUGUGGAUAAUCUUCGUUGAUGCUAAAAUAAAAUCCAAGUGGCUAGGCUGUUGUCAUGAAUUAUUAGAUCAUAGUCCCAUGUUUGCAGAUAAGGAAUUUACCCAGUGCUCACAGGAUCAAGGCCAAAGUUCUUCAACUGUUAUUCAAGAUCUUCUAGCUCCUGGUUUCACUCUUCCUUUCCAGCCUCAGGUUUUAAAUGACACCUCUGCUUUCUUGUCUUUUUUUCAGAUGCAAAUCACAUGAAAAGCCAACGCAAAGUGUCCCCCCUCUUCUGAAGUUCUCC